AUACUUACCAGGCAGAGAAAAUACUAUGACCGUGAUGGUGUUUUUUUCCCAGGGUGAGGCUUAUCCAUUGUCCUCUGAAUAUUCAGAUCUCCGUGCUUUCCCCAAAUUCAGAAAGCAGGACUGCAGAGUUUGUUGUAGUAGUGGAAUGUGGUGAAUAUUAUUU
rnacentral:snRNA from 1 species